ACGGCCGUGCGCCAGCUGGCAAGCGUUGCCGAACACUAUCAAACACUCGACGACAUCAGCAUUACCUUCUGCAAUUGUAAAUUGGGGAAAUAAUUCAAAAAAACCUGGACAAUUUUUGUGCUGAAUUGUCUGUACAAAAAAGCAGCAAGCGAAAUCAACAAGCCAGAAGAGCGGCAGAGUUUUUUGGAAUUUAAAAGAUUUGAAUACAUUUCCAUCAUGAGCGACGGUAAGUCCACCGAAAAAGAGGUGAAGCCUGACAUCCAAAAAGAAGAGCCAGAGCACAACCACAAUGCAGAGCAGACUUCAAGGGAGGUGGACGUCGCUACCUUUCCGGCCGAACUGUUUUCAAAAGAAUAAUGACGAUUCGCAAGAGAACUCCAAGUCGAUUAAAGAUAUCUCGGACGACAAUGAAAAGUGUCCCCAUUACGAGGAACAGCUGGAAAAAUGUAAAUCGAAG